AAACAGCAAAAUAGCGACCUUGAGUCCUUUUUUAGAUAAAGACGGAAUUUUGAGAGUGGGAGGACGCCUCAGUAACUCAAACGUCAGCAGCGCAGCCAAACAUCCAAUAAUACUAUCUAGUCACUGUCGUUUAAGUGACCUAGUUAUCAACCAAGCGCACAUCACUACCUUACAUGGUGCUCCACGGUUGACCUUGUCCUACAUAAGAGAAAACUAUUGGAUUUUAAGCGGCAUGAGAACAGUCAAACGACAGCUGAGACAGUGCAUUCCAUGUCGACGCUUCAGUUCAGAAAAACACCAUCAAAUAAUGGCUGAUCUUCCUCGAGCGAGAGUUACCCCCUCCCGCCCCUUCGCACACACCGGUGUAGAUUUUACCGGUCACGUGGACUUGAAGCUAAGCAGGGGCAGGGGAGCAAAGACGUACAAGGGAUAUGUAGCUGUAUUUAUCUGCCUAGCGACAAAGGCUGUUCACCUAGAAUUGGUGUCAGACCUUAGUACUCCAGCGUUUUUAGCAGCGUUCCGCCGUUUCUGUGCACGGCGAGGGACUCCCUGCCGCAUGUACAGUGAUAACGGUACAAAUUUUGUCGGAGCGAAGCGAGCGAUAGAUAAAGAGUAUAAAGAAAUCUUACGUACCUUGAAUACAGAUUUCUUUAAUAGCAUCAAUCACAUGAACAUUGAGUGGUCGUUCAAUGCACCAGCAUGGCCAAGCGCAGGUGGUUUAUGGGAAGCCGCCGUAAAAAGCUUUAAAAGGCACCUAAAACGAGUCCUAGGUGAGCAGAAACUUACAUACGAGGAGAUGACUACUCUAAUUCAGCAAAUCGAAGCCUGCUUGAACUCGCGUCCUUUGUUUCCUUUAACAGAGAACCCAGAGGACACGUAUUUAACACCUGGUCACUUUCUCAUAGGUGACUCCUUACUAUCAAGACCUCAGACUGAUCCAGAUAACGUUAGCUUACCUGCACGAUGGCAACUGGUGCAGAUCAUGAAUAAGCAAUUCUGGAAGCUUUGGUCGUCCGAUUAUCUUCAGCAUCUUCAGGCCCGGUCUAAAUGGACCAGCCCUACUAAAAACUUCGAAAUUGACGAUAUCGUUAUUAUAAAAGACGAAAAUUUAGCUCCAGGAAAGUGGGCACUUGGCAGAGUCCAAGAAUUACACCCUGGAAAAGAUGGAUACGUCAGAGUUGUAUCUAUAAAAACCGAGAACAACGUCCUUAAACGUCCUGUAACAAAGCUCAUCCCCCUUCCCGUCGAAAAAACUAACGAUGAUACCACUACAACGAAGCCAAGCGAUCAGCAACCCCAAGUAUCUUCAAACAAUGAGAAAAGGGCAAGCAGAAGCAAGCGUAGCGUAUUUACAAACUUCAUCUCUCUAGCAUUGCUCUUAUUGACUAUGUUUAUAUCUCCAUCUAUGCAGCAAAACAUUAAUAGCAAUGUGACAGCACUAGAAGAUAAUAGAGCGUUGUAUUUUGACACGAUUUCGAAUAUACAGUACAUUCGAGAUGAGUGGAGAUUGGUUGUGUACUACAACCUUACUAGCUACUGGCAAGCAUUGGAAGACAUGGAGAUGUACAUUCGUCAUUUAAAGAGCUUAACUUUGAAUUUAAAAGGCAUGUCAAUCCAAUCUAAUGCACAGUAUAUGAGUAUUGCUAACCAACUAGCGCAUGAACUUACGGAAAUUGAGCACUAUAAUCGACUUCUACAUAGCAGCAGACGCCAAAAAAGAGGCCUAGUUAAUGGUAUUGGGUCCGUAGCGAACUAUCUAUUUGGUGUUUUAGACGACAACUUUGCUCUUCAAUAUGCUAAAGAUAUUGAAAAGAUUAGCUACAACGAAAAUCAUGUUAAACAACUCAUCAAGAAUCAAACAACAAUUAUCGAAGCGGAAUACAACAUAAUACAGCGAAACGAACAAAUCAUGAACAAACAAUUCUCAUUAAUAAAUACAUAUUUAAGAGAAACAGCAACAGAGCUAACUCAAUUACGUAAUGACGUCCACAAUGGACUCUACAUAACGUCGUCGGCUUUAGCAGCCAACAUCAUCCUAGAGAACCUGAGACGUAUACAAACCUCACUUAUCGAUACCGUUACUGACAUCACUCACGGGCGCAUCGAUACGCACCUGUUGUCUAGCGAGCAAUUAGAGCAACAAAUAAAUUUUAUAUCAGGCCAGCUACAUGGUGAUCUAAAAGUACCUGUAGAGACACAUAACAUUCGUGACCUAUACAAGCUACUUAAGGUAUUCGCCAAGGUCUACAAAAAAUACCUUAUCAUCGAGAUUAAGGUCCCACUGGUCAAUAACGAUAUCUACGAGCUUGAUAAGAUUAUCACCGUUCCACGCAACACAGAAGCAGUUUCCUACCUGACUGUACCUACUUACCCUUACCUAGCGUUUAAUCUAAGAAAAGAAGCAGUUAUAUUUUUAACUGAACAUGAUCUGCAAACGUGUCUUCAUGCAUCUGAAGAGAGAAUGCUAUGCUCUUUAGAUAAACCUAUUUAUGAUUUAGAUCUCAAGCAAAAUUUAUGUAACCUAAGUAUAAUAGAUGCAGGAAAAAUAACUUCGCCCUGUAUGUACGAGCAAGCUCCUUGUAACAAUAGGUGGAUCAAGUUACACCUACAGAAUGUCUGGUUGUACUCAUGUUGCCACGAGUGCAACAUUCGCACAUUUUGUCCAGCUGGUAUGACAGUCAGCACAAUAGCGGGCAACGGCCUUCUCGAUAUAGGUCAAGGUUGCACUCUCAAGGGAGACUCAUUUACGAUAUAUGCUCAUAAUGACUUUGUAAAAAAGGGGUUGCACUCUCAAGGGAGACUCAUUUACGAUAUAUGCUCAUAAUGACUUUGUAAAAAAGGUAAAUAUAGACUUAAAUAUCGAAGCCCCAAAGAUAUCAAUUCUCAACAAACUGAUAAACACCUCAACAAUUAGCGAUCUUACUACAGAAAGUCACCAGCAAGCUUAUCAUGAGAUAAUGGAUGAAUUAAAUGUGGUAAAGCAAGAAUCAGCAUCGGAUCUCAGCGUCCAUGACAUCCACCAGUACUCAAUCAGCUAUGGAAUAGUUGUAGUACUUCUGAUAGCAGCGCUAGUGGCAAUCUUUCUUCGAGUCCGAAGGAAAAGGUCUCGGCGCAUGCAGCUUUCGAGACAUCCAGCUGUCCUUAGGAGGGGACAUCCGGUGAACAUCGAGCGGCAGUGUGUGUCUAGUGAACAAGAAGUGCAACCUCAGUGUAGUGAAUUGCGUAAAUCAGUGAGCAUGGGCGUGUUAAGUGUUGACAGAGGCUCGGCGCCUCCUAAGCCCCCGAGGUCCGUGUCGAUCUCUAUUCCUUGUGAAUCCCUCGGGGAAAUAAUUGAGUCAUCCGAUUAAGUGCUAUUUAUUUACUGGACAAUAUUAUGGACACUAAGUUCACUAUUUAAACUCUUAUGUAAUUCUAUUUUAUUACAAAUCUUUACGUAUUUCAUAACUUCUUAAGCAUCUUAUCAAUUGUUUUUAUAUCAAUGUUAUUAACUAGCAUAAUUUUGAAGUUCCUAAGCGUUUCUAUCAAUGUUUUCACCUAGCAUAUCUUUUUGAGCUUAAUGUACAAACUAGCUUCUGACUUAGCAUAUUACUUUGUAUCAUUUUAAGCGAUUUGUCCUUUUUUCUUCUCUGAUUGGCAAGAUGUACGGGCUAACCGCACAUAAAAAUUGUACAUUUCUUACUUGACCUAGUUUAAAUUUAGCUAAGUUAGCUUUACGUCAUUGCUCGUCACUAUGCGUUACAAUAUUGGUGAAUUCAAUAAAUCAGUGUACGUUCAACACUCGUCGGGUUUGGUUAUUAGCUCUCCUUGGAGCCACAAUCCCUUCAGCGUCCCUUAGCGAAUCCUUAAUGUGUGGUUUACUACCGC